UACGGAGGGUGCAAGCGUUAUCCGGAUUCACUGGGUUUAAAGGGUGCGUAGGCGGGUAGGUAAGUCCGGGGUGAAAUCUCUGAGCUUAACUCAGAAACUGCCGUGGAUACUAUUUGCCUUGAAUAUUGUGGAGGUGAGCGGAAUAUGUCAUGUAGCGGUGAAAUGCUUAGAUAUGACAUAGAACACCAAUUGCGAAGGCAGCUCACUACACAAUGAUUGACGCUGAGGCACGAAAGCGUGGGGAUCAAACAGG
rnacentral:rRNA from 1 species